rnacentral:rRNA from 1 species
AGUGAACGCUGGCGGUAGGCCUAACACAUGCAAGUCGAACGGCAGCACAGUAAGAGCUUGCUCUUACGGGUGGCGAGUGGCGGACGGGUGAGGAAUACAUCGGAAUCUACUUUUUCGUGGGGGAUAACGUAGGGAAACUUACGCUAAUACCGCAUACGACCUACGGGUGAAAGCAGGGGAUCUUCGGACCUUGCGCGAUUGAAUGAGCCGAUGUCGGAUUAGCUAGUUGGCGGGGUAAAGGCCCACCAAGGCGACGAUCCGUAGCUGGUCUGAGAGGAUGAACAGCCACACUGGAACUGAGACACGGUCCAGACUCCUACGGGAGGCAGCAGCGGGGAAUAUUGGACAAUGGGCGCAAGCCUGAUCCAGCCAUACCGCGUGGGUGAAGAAGGCCUUCGGGUUGUAAAGCCCUUUUGUUGGGAAAGAAAAGCAGCAGGUUAAUACCCCGCUGUUCUGACGGUACCCAAAGAAUAAGCACCGGCUAACUUCGUG